UGCGGGGUGGAGCAGUCUGGUAGCUCGUCGGGCUCAUAACCCGAAGGUCUCAGGUUCGAAUCCUGACCCCGCUACCA
rnacentral:tRNA from 1 species